AACGAACGCUGGCGGCGUGCCUAACACAUGCAAGUCGAGCGAGAAAGGGGGAGCAAUCCCCUGAGUACAGCGGCGCACGGGUGAGUAACACGUAGGUGAUCUCCCCUCCGAGCCCGGAAUAACCUACCGAAAGGUGGGCUAAUACCGGAUAUGACCACGGGAGUUUCGGCUCCUGUGGUGAAAGAUGGCCUCUACCUGUAAGCUAUCACUCAAGGAUGAGCCUGCGUGCCAUUAGCUAGUUGGUGAGGUAAUGGCUCACCAAGGCUAUGACGGGUAGCUGGUCUGAGAGGAUGGCCAGCCACAUUGGGACUGANACACGGCCCAGACUCCUACGGGAGGCAGCAGUGGGAAUAUUGCGCAAUGGCGAAAGCCUGACGCAGCGACGCCGCGUGUGGGAUGACGGCC
rnacentral:rRNA from 1 species